AUACUGCAUUGCGAGUGUGUUUGCGUUUUACAUUCAGCGGCGCUACUGUUUUUGUUGGCAGGGCGUUUUCUUUUAGGAAUUAUCAGCUUAUUUUUUAAAUAAUGAACCUUAGUUUUAAGUACAUCACAUGCAAACAUGGAGAUCGGCCCAGAAAUAAACAAGAAAAUACGGGCUGCUAUCAAGGGGAAACUUCAAGAACUCUAUGCCAAUGUGCCAAUGUUGUGCCAAUGUUGAACCAGAGUCGAUGAGGCUUCCGCUCCACUCUGAAGCUGUGGCAUCUCAGCUGCGAAGAGCCAGAGGAAGAGUGAGGGGUCGAAGGGGCUUAUGGUGUCCAGUUCUCGCUCUCUAAUAGGACAGAGGCCCGCGUGUCCAUCUCCGCCCAUGAGCACAGCUAGACGACAAGAGACGAGCAGCCGAGACUUGAGUCCAGAUGAUGUGAUGAUGCUGUUCGGUUAUUUAUUUAUUUAUUUUUUACAUUUUCUUAUGGUUUAAUUAUCAACGAUCUGGUCAGUCUUAUAUAUAAUUUUUAUUUGUGAAACUAACAGUUUUUAUUUUAUUUUUUUAAACCAGACAACUUACAGGGUUUUAUUAAGUUGUGGUACGGCACAUUUUUUGUUGUUGAUAUUACUGAAAGUAUAUUAAAGUACUCCACGUGUCAA